CAGGGCGGGCGCUCUGCGGUUUGCCUGUGUCUGCAGGGUCCUGGUGCCGCCCACAGUCGAGGACACCGCAAUUCAGGGCCAGGCGAUGCCGCCAGUGGUCCCAGGUGGUGAGUCUGAGCCCAGCGUCCUGGUUCCAUUCCUCAGAGGGCAGGUGACCCGAGGGCAGCCGUGGCCUCCCCAUCUGCCAUUCCCUCCACCAGAAGCUACUCCUCUCCGGACCUGGCCAGGCCCCCAGACAGAUCUUGGCGUUUUGUACAAGUCACAGGUUGCCAUCCACCACUGCAGCUAAGAUCACCUCCUCCUCCACUUUCAUCUGCCAUCAGCCACCAACACGCCCUGUGAGAGGUGUCAGCUGGGUUUCAAGUAGACGAGCAGCUAGGCUCCCAACUCCAACCAGAGACUCUGUUUGAACCAGCUGUUUGCACUGACAGCACAUAGAGCUGCUUCCACAAUCCCACCCGCCUAUGGAGACCUCCCUACUGUUUCUGGUGUCCGCAAUGCAUUAGAAAGCACAUUACGAUACUGUUUCCCAGAUCUAGUUGCAUUUUAUUUUUUAAAUUAUUAAUAAAGCCUACAUUAUUUUAAAUGUUAAUUAAAAAAAAAAAAAACUUCAGCAGAGCUGUGGCAUCUAAG